UUGGUCGCGAGCUGUAUGCAUCCGCGAGAACCGCCUCUGCGCAUUGAUGGGUGGUGUCGUUCUGUAAUACUGUCUAUAAGCAAUGUGGUAACGACUUGCCCGAGCAUGAACAUCGUGUGUUUUGCUAUUUGCGGAUGUAUACCGUACGUGUAUGUCUGGGUGUCUACCAACCUGGAAGAGUGGGGGAAUUGCCUUGCUGGAAAACUGGGGGAACUUUGGUAAAACCUGGCCAAUUCAUGGAAAACUGGCGACAGUCUGUGCCACCAUCACAAAAAUAAG